UCCGGCUUAUCACCGGCAGUCUCCCUAGAGUUCCCGGCAUCAUCCGCUGGCAACUAAGGACAGGGGUUGCGCUCGUUGCGCCACUUAAGGCAACACCUCACGGCACGAGCUGACGACAGCCAUGCAGCGCCUGUGCAGGCUCCCGAAGGAGCACCGGCUUUCACCGGUUUCACCCUGCAUGUCAAGCCCUGGUAAGGUUCUUCGCGUUGCGUCGAAUUAAUCCACAUCAUCCACCGCUUGUGCGGGUCCCCGUCAAUUCCUUUGAGUUUUAAUCUUGCGACCGUACUCCCCAGGCGGUCGACUUCACGCGUUAGCUGCGUUACCGAAGGAGUUACCCUCCGACAACUAGUCGACAUCGUUUAGGGCGUGGACUAC
rnacentral:misc_RNA from 1 species